ensembl:lncRNA
CCAGGGUGUUUAUGACCUGUCCCUGGCUCCACACAGCUCUUGUCAAUUUCUUCUAUUUGUCACUCUGAACUGUCAUUUAUAGUGAUAAGAAAAGAACAGAAGGCUCAGUAGAGGCGAACACCGAGGGAUGUUAAAGACAUCUGAGGACUCCCUGUUUUGCAUUUUGAGGACUAUUUUGAUCUCUGCCAGUUCAAAGUGGCCAAGAGCCUUCCUCUGCUUUGCUGGCUGUGCAAGCUACAUUUCCCAGAUGCCCUUGCCAAACUGGCUUCUGGUCCACCUAGAGCCUCACUGAUAGGAAAUUAAAG